UGUUUUUUUUUUUGGUUCAAGACCAGUGAGAUACAAGUUCAGUGUGUGUAGAGCUGUAGAGCUAAGAAAAGAAAACGGGUCUGGAAGUUGUCUCAAUGCUAUUUUUUUACGUCCUGGAAAGGGUAUUUUUGUGUUCCAACCUGUCCCUGUUACAAAGACUUUUUGCACAUCUCUGAACAGGACUUGCUCUCCAGUCUCCCAUUGAGUACCAGAGGAAGGAGGGCGGCAUCACUGUGACCCGCCCACUGUCAUUAGGACGACUGCUGUCUGCCCCGCCCACACCCGAUGACCACGCCCCACAGCGUCCACCUGACAGCGAGCAGGACAACCAGGAGCUGGUUCUGGUGCUGCAGGACUUUGUAGUGGUGCGGGAGGAUGAGAUCUCUGUUUCGGGGGGAGAAGGUCCAGAUCCUGGUAUCCAACCAGCAGGGUCAGUCUGGUCUAUCGGCCAGCCAACAGCGACUUGCCGGCCGCCGAGGGCUGGGUGUCAUGCAUUGUGCUCAACAUGCAUGAACACACAGCAGCACACACUAAUAGCAGGGUAAGCGCUUGGUUUACUACUAGUACAUACACUUAAAAUACUGUAAGCCAAUGGGACCAAAGGCAUGUUGGGAAAUGAAGUAUGCGCGUGGGAACAUUUUUGACAGACAGGAGGGAACCUUUUUGACAUUUCGGCGUGGGUCCUUGAUUGUCAAUGACAGGAGGUAACCUUCCUGACAUUUGGGAUGACACGAGGGUGACUUUUUGACAUUGUCAGAAAGGUUACCAUGUGUCAAUUGACAGGAGGUAAACUUUUUGACAAAAGGGGCUGACAUUUGGUAAACUUUCUUAUGUUGUCAGAUUUUUUUAAGUAAACUUUUUGACAAGUGGGGUGUGGCAUUUUGAAACCCUAAGAGUGCAUUUUUAAAGCCAUUCUAUGGGUUUUGAAAUGUCAAAUUUCUAAACUGGCUGGUUCCAUUUCUUUUUUGCAUUGAGCUUGUGCAAUUUGCAUGAAAGCAAAGCAAAGCAGCUCCCUGCAUGUGUAAAAGAGGUUCAAAAUGAUUACAAGUGCCAUAAAAUAAAUAAAUAAAAACACUUUCAACAAUAAACCAAAUUUUCACAGCUCUUAUUAUGAACAAAUAACCAGAAAAAUAAAUAACAAACUAUACUACUUUAUUUAGCAGUGCCAUAAAACGCUGCAGGUUGCUUUAAAGCUGUGGAAAAGUGCCAUA